rnacentral:ncRNA from 1 species
AGGAGCCGUAUGAAUCGAAAGGUUCACGUACGGUUUUGAAGCCGAGUACGGGUGGCGACACCCGUGCUUAGGUUAAC